UAUGGCCAAAUCAAGCUGAAACACUGGUUCUCAUUUGAUCACUGAAGUUAAGCAGUGUCGAACCCAGUCAGUACUUAGAUGUGGGACCGCC